rnacentral:rRNA from 1 species
GAGGGAAUAUUCCGCAAUGGACGAAAGUCUGACGGAGCAACGCCGCGUGAGUGAAGAAGGAUUUCGGUUCGUAAAACUCUGUUGUUAGGGUAGAAAAAAUGUAUAGUAACUAUAUACAAAAGAGACGGUACCUAACCAGAAAGCCACGGCUAACUACGUGCCAGCUGCCGCGGGAAUACGUAGGUGGCAAGCGUUGUCCGGAAUUAUUGGGCGUAAAGCGCGCGCAGGUGGUUUAGAAAGUCUGAUGUGAAAGCCCACGGCUCAACCGUGGAGGGUCAUUGGAAACUAAUAAACUUGAGUGCAGGAGAGAAAAGUGGCAUUCCUAGUGUAGCGGUGACAUGCGUAGAGAUUAGGAGGAACACCGGUGGCGAAAGCGGCUUUUUGGCCUGCAACUGACACUGAGGAGCGAAAGCGUGGGGAGCAAACAGG